GGCCUUGUGGCGCAAAGGUAGCGUGUCUGACUCCAGAUCAGAAGGUUGUGUAUUCAAUUCAAUUUUAUUUGUAUAGCGCCA